CAGACUCUCACUCUGGUAAAUUUGCAUAAAGUUUCUGACCAAGCAAAUCAAUAAAGCAGAUCUUAAAUGCUGUACAUUGAAAAUAGGGACAGUGCAAAUGAAAUAAUGCUUUGCCAUCUUCUUCUGAUGCCAUUUGUUGCAACCAAAGUGAUCAGUGAGAUAUAACGCAUGAAAUUACAUGGACUGAAAUCUUCUCCUUCACAGAACAUAUAUCCUGAAUCUUCUACACGGAACACAGUGACUGCUCUUUUUUUUUUUUUUUUUUUCACUCUGAAAAUUCCAUGAAUUCUUUAUUUCUGAAAUUAAAACAUUUCUCUUUUUUCUUCACAAUGGCAUGCUUGCAUUUUAAUCAUACUCUCUGUUCCCUGAUUCUUUUCUCUCACAGUUGUGCUUUAACAAACAGAUCUUAUGUUUGCUUUGAAAUUGUUAUAAAAUGUUUUUUAAAAAUACCCUAUGAAAAUGCUUAUGUGUGCUCACGUCUCUCUGGUCAGAAGUGAAAGUGUUUCCCACGAUGUGCCAUUCCUGUAGAGGCUGAUCUGAGGAACUGCCUGCUGGAAAGCACUGAUGGCCUUAAGUGAUGCACAAACCAUCUGUCUUGUUUCUACCACCAUACAAUUAUACCAACAAGAAGAAAAGCAGGUAACUUGCCCCGGUGGCAUAAGUGGUAGGAAUGCCACAUUGCAAUACCGUAGGCCCUGGGUUCGAAUCCCCCCUGUGGCGCAAAUGGUAGAAGUGCCGCUCUGCUACACAGGAGGCUCAAAUCCCGGGGGGUUGGACUCAAUGAUCUCUAAGGUCCCUUCCAACCCGCACGAGACUAUGAUACUAUGAUAACAAUUUUCGGCUUUCAGUGUCAGGUUGCUGAUCAGUGGGGAUCAACCAGGUCACUGGCACAAAAUACUCACUAGUGUCAACUACAGGAUCCAGAAGUGUGUCUCAUCAUGGAGGAAGAACACUCAUCCCACCUACUUCCUCCCUCCCCCAACAAAGUCAGACUUUUAUUUAUUUAUUUAGUGUGGGAAUAAGUGAUGUCACAGACAGAAA
rnacentral:lncRNA from 1 species